rnacentral:rRNA from 1 species
CCUACGGGUGGCAGCAGUGGGGAAUAUUGCACAAUGGGGGAAACCCUGAUGCAGCGACGCCGCGUGCGUGAAGAAGGAUUUCGGUAUGUAAAGCUCUAUCAGCAGGGAAGAAAAUGACGGUACCUGAUUAAGAAGCCCCGGCUAACUACGUGCCAGCAGCCGCGGUUAUACGUAGGGGGCAAGCGUUAUCCGGAUUUACUGGGUGUAAAGGGGGCGUAGACGGCAGCACAAGUCUGGAGGGAAAUGCCGGGGCUUAACCCCGGAACUGCUUUGGAUACUGUGCAGCUAGCGUGCAGGAGAGGUAAGUGGAAUGCCUAGUGUAGCGGUGAAAUGCGUAGAGAUUAGGCGGAACACCAGUGGCGAAGGCGACUUUCUGGACUGUACCUGACGCUGAGGCGCGAAAGCGUGGGUAGCGAACGGGAUUAGAUACCCCUGUAGUC